CUGAAACAUGAGUCACUUUUCCAUUCCUGGUAUUUUAUCUUAAUUUGGUGUAAAAUUUGUGGUAUAAUAUUGGACCCCUUUCUUGUUUCAGCAUGGAAGACAUGCUCCUCACUGUUUUUACUUUUUAAAUUCACUGAACUCCGUUUCAAGAGUGAUUUCAAGAAUCUGCACUUACGUGGCCAUUUUAUCCCAUAGUAUCUAGUUUAAAAAAUGUGUCAGUCUCUCCCUGAAAAAAAUGUCUGGCAUUUACUCAAUGAAAGGGCAACGUGCUAGGUGUUGAUGAAGAAGAAUGCCAUAUUUAUUAAAAGCAAUCUCUGGAUUUUUAAAGUUGGAGAAAGAUUCCAUGGAAAAUCCCAUUUAGCCGUCCAAUUCUAGUAUUGUUGGAAAGCGCACCUAAUUUUUUUUCAAAGAGGAUUAAAUGAAAUUUUGCACAACCAGAGCGUAACAUUCUACCUGGCAUGUGGAAAUUGGAAUUUCCUGGCUAAAACAGAAAUAAGUCUGAUUGUAAGAAAAAAGUGUCUACACAUUGACAAUUUUCCAAAGGAGGAAUAAAGAAGCUUUAUUUGGGUAUUUCAGAACACCGAGGGACAUGAUUGUUUAAGGCAGUGAAGCAGCUGAAGCCAGGGGCGUGGUGGGUUAUGGUACAUACGCCAUCACACUGGCGGAAAAUGAAGACCAGGUCGCCUGGGCCCUCACAUCUCCUGACAUUCACCUUCAGCCACAGGAACCACAGAUUAAAGAAGGAAUGAUGGAUGCUGGCCUAUUAGUUGAACAAUGUAAACAACAGAUGCAGCCAUUUGCCAUUACAGGACACCGACACUGAUUCUCUGAGAUGCCAGAAUGUGGUUUGACUGGCAAAUAAGAAUUGUAUAGGUUUUUUUUAUUGUAAAUUUGUAAAAUGCAAAAGCACACAGAAGGAUCCUUAGAAAUAAAAAUUCCAAACAUUUGCUCUGUGGGUUCAUUUUUGGUUUUUUUAACCAAACUGUCAUCAGGCCAA
rnacentral:lncRNA from 1 species